GUAGGUGAACCUGCGGAGGGAUCAUUACACAAGUAUGCAAGCCCAGGACUACCGCCCCCCCCCUACUUGAGCGGUAGCCGCUAGGGGAGGGUGGUGGCCUGGGAUCCAUCUUCACCCAUGUCUUUUUGCGUACUACCUGUUUCCUUGGCGAGCUCGCUCGCCAAUUGGACCACCAAUUAAACCUUUUUGUAAUUGCAAUCAGCGUCAGAUAACACAAAUGUAAUAAAUUACAACUUUCAACAACGGAUCUCUUGGUUCUG
rnacentral:misc_RNA from 1 species